rnacentral:rRNA from 1 species
GACGAACGCUGGCGGCGUGCUUAACACAUGCAAGUCGAACGGUAAGGCUCCAGCUUGCUGGGGUACACGAGUGGCGAACGGGUGAGUAACACGUGGGUGACCUGCCCUGCACUUCGGGAUAAGCCUGGGAAACUGGGUCUAAUACCGGAUAGGACCGCACCGUGAGGGUGGGGUGGAAAGUUUUUUCGGUGUGGGAUGGGCCCGCGGCCUAUCAGCUUGUUGGUGGGGUAAUGGCCUACCAAGGCGGCGACGGGUAGCCGGCCUGAGAGGGUGGACGGCCACAUUGGGACUGAGACACGGCCCAGACUCCUACGGGAGGCAGCAGUGGGGAAUAUUGCACAAUGGGCGGAAGCCUGAUGCAGCGACGCCGCGUGGGGGAUGACGGCCUUCGGGUUGUAAACUCCUUUCACCAUCGACGAAGGGUUUCUGACGGUAGAUGGAGAAGAAGCACCGGCUAACUACGUG